UUUAUGGAGAGUUUGAUCCUGGCUCAGGAUGAACGCUGGCGGCGUGCCUAAUACAUGCAAGUCGAGCGAACAGAUAAGGAGCUUGCUCCUUUGACGUUAGCGGCGGACGGGUGAGUAACACGUGGGUAACCUACCUAUAAGACUGGAAUAACUCCGGGAAACCGGGGCUAAUGCCUGAUAACAUGUUGAACCGCAUGGUUCUAUAGUGAAAGACGGU
rnacentral:rRNA from 1 species